GAGUCUUUGCGUUGGUUGCGGUUGAACUCGCGGGCUUUGCCCGCCGGCAGGAGGCCUCCGGCGGCCCUCGGCGCCCCAGGAGGAGGCUGUGCGGUAGCUGGCGGCGGCGGAGGUGGCGGCUGGGGUUGCUUGUUGUUCACAAUCAGAGGGCCGGGACCGGCGGCUGCCGGCUCCAUCUUGGCUGCUCCACACCCCCGGCUCAAUUCGCGGAUGGCCUCCGUCAAGCAACUCUCGCGUGAUUUCCUCCAGGAAAUUUCCCCAAUCGCCAUAUUCAGUGUGGCUGCGUGUGUUGAAAGCCGCAGCUGCCAAUCACCUCCCGAGAAACCUUCCUCCCCAAGAAGCACGUGAAAGAUUCUCGGUCGCUGGCUUCAACCCUCUAGUCAUCAGGAGUGGCAAAGCCUCACAGGACAGAGCAUCUCCAGAUGACAGCUCUUUCUGUCAUGGCAUGUGCACCCUGGAAUAGAAAGAAUCCUCCUGAGAAACAGCUUGUCCCCUCAAGCAAAAAGGACUUCAACCUUCUCGUAAAGCCACCCGUAAGAGGAUGAUCAUUCAGACCACACCUGACCAGGUUGGCUUGAUUAUUCCUACCUCACCCCAAACUCAGUGCUUCUAUUUAAUCCUAAAGCUCUUGUAAGUUCCCCCAAAGACAGUAAACCCUUUAUAUGUUUCUCUUUCUGGAAUGCACAUCAA